GAUGAACGCUGGCGGCGUGCCUAAUACAUGCAAGUCGAGCGAACAGACGAGGAGCUUGCUCCUCUGACGUUAGCGGCGGACGGGUGAGUAACACGUGGAUAACCUACCUAUAAGACUGGGAUAACUUCGGGAAACCGGAGCUAAUACCAGAUAAUAUAUUGAACCGCAUGGUUCAAUAGUGAAAGACGGUUUUGCUGUCACUUAUAGAUGGAUCCGCGCCGCAUUAGCUAGUUGGUAAGGUAACGGCUUACCAAGGCAACGAUGCGUAGCCGACCUGAGAGGGUGGUCGGCCACACUGGAACUGAGACACGGUCCAGACUCCUACGGGAGGCAGCAGUAGGGAAUCUUCCGCAAUGGGCGAAAGCCUGACGGAGCAACGCCGCGUGAGUGAUGAAGGUCUUCGGAUCGUAAAACUCUGUUAUUAGGGAAGAACAAAUGUGUAAGUAACUAUGCACGUCUUGACGGUACCUAAUCAGAAAGCCACGGCUAACUACGUG
rnacentral:rRNA from 1 species